CAAAAUGGCGGUCUCGCCACUCGACGACUCUCAGCUGUGAUUGGUCGCUCUCGAGUUGGUCUCUUUCGCGCGCGCCAUACGGCGCGACGGUUUCGUACUCGUGUUCUAAUACGGAACGCCGGGCGUUCUUCUUCUCUUCGCCGAAAGACCUUCCGGUGCGCCAGUAGCCCCUCUCGCCGUGUCGCUUGUUUCAGCUCAUAAGUUAGAUAAGGACGACGCCGGCGAUCGCGUGGUCGCUUGUUUUCGGUGGCGCAAGGAUGCGCGCGCAAGGUGUUCUCCGGUCACGUAUGCCCCGUCGAUGGUGCUCGCUCACUCUCUCAUCAUCUGCCGCCGAUGCGUAUCGCCGAUGCGCACGAGAUACGCACUUGUGCGCGUUUCUUCUGUUUUCUUUUUUUUCGAUCGGCUGACUUGCUGUUGUUGCCGGUAGUCGGUUGAAUAUAGGCGCUCGUUUCAAGGACGGCAAAAGAAAAAACGCGCGCGAGGGCCACUUGCGCUCGACUGUCACUCUCGUUCGUCUCACGAGUGUGUUUACGACCGACUCCGAGGAAAGAGAGAGAGAGAGAGAGAGAGAGAGAAAGAAUCGCAAAAAGUAUCCGGUCGGUCGAGUUCGCUCGCGAAAUUGCGUCACAGCCGCCGUACUCGUCGAGAAUGAUCGGCGCCAGAAGUGGCGAGGAUCGAAGGAACCUUCCUGGAAACGACGACGGGGCCAUCGACCAUUCCGUUCGGUUCGGAGAGUCUCAUCUGCACUCUUCUUCCGUGUGCCUAUACUCAUGAUCUGUGGAAGACCGAAUGGCUCAUCAAAUUUAUCAGCAUUGAACACACGAAUCUUGUACAGGAUUUGACAUUAUCGAAAAAGAAAUAUAGUGAGAUUUACUUAUGAUUUAUAUGUCAAUGAUAACAGAAAUCAUCUUGCCUCCAACUAUUUUAUCUUAUCCCCAACGCUAUUCUCAAUACAUCUUCAAGUUGCGGGUUAAGAUGAAAGUUCUUGAAAAAGAGGUUUUUCCUACUUUUUAUUUUUUACUUUUAAUUUGGUUAUAUAACAAUUCAAAAUUGAAUUGAUGUUGAUUAUAGAGAAAAGUUUUAAUAAAUAUCUCACUUAAGAUUGUUUCGUUUUUAUUAAGCUUUUUCCUUGUCUUUUGCCACGAGUUCUCCCAUAUCUUUGUUGUUUCGUCGAGUAAUCAACAGUCACGAUAUACAAGCGUGUCGGCACGACGCGAAUGACUGAAAAGUUCUAGUUGCUAUUGUGGCAUUGGACGUUAAAGUUAUUAUGCCGGUCUGUGUACAUCGGUAGCUACAUUAGCCGUCGCAAAUGCGUUUGCACGUGCGACUUGCGAUCGGCCGCAAUGACGCCGCUUAUGCCAUCAACUUUUUAGACAACCUCGUAGAUGAUAGAUAUAUUAUAAGGAACACACAGCUGAUGCGGUUUCCCCGCACGCGGGGUAUCAACGUAACGCGUUACCGAGCAACGCGGAAUUACGAAAUUUUAUCGUUCUCGAGGAAUUCGAAGCAAUCGUCACGAGCAGCGUUAACCGAUCGCGACGCGGCGCGAAAACCGGUUCCUGAAGUCUCCGCUGACAUCGCGCAGUUUUUUCCCCUUCUUUUGUAUUAUUUCAGUCUUUUCUUUCUGCCUUCCCUCUUCUUUCCCUCCGUCUCUCGGAAGGUGAAGCUAUCUCGAGUCGCAAUUCCGCGGAUUCACCUCUUUGCGCGCACCUCUCGUAACUUAUUACGAGAAAAGUUCCGCGUAUCCGUGGAAAAAUAGAAGAAAAAUUCUCCCGAGAGUUUCUCCUUGAAAGUCGCUGCUUGCCGAUCUGUGAAUAAUCCAGUCGGCAUUUCUGAGAAAUUACUCCCCGACCGAGCGAUACGGCCGGUGGAGAGAGAGAGGAGAGCGCAGACGACGCUAAUUUUAGCGUUAUUUAAAAAUGGUGCGCAGUUAUUCUUGCUUUCCCCUGCGUAUCGAUUCGCGCGUAUCGAGCCCGACAAAAAGAGCACGGCGGCAUUAGGUCAAAGGUAGCACCGUGCUCGACCGUGUAAUAUUAUCUGUGGCGCGCUCGGUGGGGCAGGACUCGGGAAUUCUCGGGGUACAAUCAACCUGCACGCAAAAGUACAUCGCACCGUAUGCGCGUUACGUCAGCGGAAAACCUUGACUUUAUUGCACCGUGACAUGCUGGCAACAAGCGUCUCCUUUCCCUUUUUACGGCGCGGGUUUUGUAGCUUUGCACAGCUUAGGCUACUUUCUGCACCGUUUCGACCGGUACACGCGUACCGAUUAUUACCGAACUCGGCGAUCGUGCCUGUGUAAAGUAUCUCCGGAUAAUAUUCUUGUAUGGUCAGCCGUAAGACGAUACCAACGGCAAGUUGCUCUCUCACGAGAGAGAAAAGUUAUAAGCUCUUGAAGAGUUGCAAAUAAGCGGGGUUACUUAACGAUGCUCUCCAAUUAGAACAGAGCGUGCCUGCGGAGAAUCGAAAAACAUAAAUAAACGCGCAAGUUCCUCGUGCGGUCAUCGUUAGUACCUGCAAGAAGUACCAACUAUGAUUAGAUAUCGCGAAGACGAAGCGACGGCGACGUAGUACGAUAAGUUUAAAUCGCGCUUGGUGUUAUGCAACUCGAUUCUCUCAUUUGCGCCGCUCGGCCACGUUUCUCCACUAUUCAAAAUACAAAUAUUUUUUUGUCGUACAAACAAUGAUAAGAUAAAACGGCGCGACAAGUUGAUCGUCGUUCUCGGCUUGCGACUUCGGCCUCUGAAGUUUCAACAUGACCGAUGAAUCAGCCUCUACGACGAAUCUCAACUCGCCCACAUCUUCAGGGAGGGUCGAUCCGGAUCGUCGAUUUGGAGCCAGAUCGCGCGAAGGAAGGAAGGGAGGAAGAAAGGAACGCGGGCUUUCACAGCCGGGAAAAUGGAGAAAUCAUUCUCUCUAAGCGAAUCGAUGAUAAUGUUUCUGAUUAAAUCAAUAAAGUAU